AAAAACAUUCGGCGCAUCUUAAAAAAGGUAACGCAAGUGAGCAAACUAUCGCUUCCGGCCUGAUGCUGCGGUCCGAUUCGCUCCGCAUUAAAUACUUGAUGUCGUAUGUGCUGGGAAAGUAAAGUUCUAAUACUUUUAAAAACUCGCUUUCUUCUAGCGGAAGUUUCUUGCAGGAUAAUCAAAACUUGCCCUUGAAAUGAAAUCCACUUUACUUCUGGGUU